GGGGAUUUACGGGUGACCGCUGGGUUUUUUUGAAUACACUAAAACUUUUUGUGAACAGCCAAUUUUAUAUUUAACUCCUGUAGGAAAUACACUAUUUUAAAAAACUCAGAGGAAAGUCCGGACUCCAAGAUGGCAGCGUAAAAGGUGAAAACCUUUCCACCUUUCAAAGGUGAGGACAAGUGGAACAGAAAGUAUGUCCGGGCCUUUAUAUAAAGGCUGCUGGAGUGAAAUCAGCUAAACUCUACGCGGAGCAAGGUCGAAUAGGAAAGCGUUUGAGUCGAGCCAUGACAAGCUUUCGGGUUGACCGCAAAGAUGAAUGUUCGCCUCCUUGCUGUUUUUCCGGUUAAACAGAAGAAGACAGAAUCCGGCUUACAGUAAAUCCCUUUCA
rnacentral:RNase_P_RNA from 1 species